rnacentral:tRNA from 1 species
GCGGGGAUGGUGGAACUGGCAGACACGCAGCACUUAGGAUGCUGUGCCGAAAGGCGUGCAGGUUCAAGUCCUGUUCCCCGCACCA